UGGAAUUGCAUCCGGAAAGACUGCGCACAGCCACGAGCGAGAACUGACUCUUGAACAAGAAUAUCGAUAUGGCUUUACGAAAAUUGAUUUUUCGCGUCUAUGCAUUGAACAGCACACGUCAUUCUGUAAAGGUUUUGAAUACUCAUAUGUCUGCCUUUAGUGUAUUGAGUCCUAACACCGAUUUGAGAGUAAAACAUGACCGACACAACCUCUGCUUUUCUAUCAACCUGGACGGCGAAGGACAUCAGGAUAGCGCGGUGCUGCGCUACAAAUUUACGAGCAAGAAGGAGGUAGAUCUACUGUCAACUUAUGUACCCGAGUCUUUCAGGGGCAAAGGUGUUGCAGCUCUUCUGUCAAAGGCUGCCAUGGAUUUUCUAGUGGAAGAAAACCUCAAGGCCCAUAUAUCUUGUUGUUAUAUUAAGAAAUAUGUUGAGGAAACCCCACUUCUUGGUUAUAAGGAUCUUAUUAUAGUCUGAAUAAGCUGCAUCCUUGAUGAAUAGUGGUUGGAAAGAAUGGUCAUUGUAAAAAUACAUAAUACUUUAAAAUAAUGUAUUCAGUAUUUACAGUACUAGUCAAAAGGGUUUUCUUUAUUUUUACUAUGUUCUACAUGGUAUAAUAAUAGUGAAGAUAAUCAAAACUAUGAAAUAACACAUAUGGAAUCAUGUAGUAACCAAAAAAAGUGGUAAAGAAAUCAAAAUAUAUUUUAGAUUUUAGAUUCUUCAAGGUAGCCUUGAUGACAGCUGACAGAAACAGACAGAUGACAGAAACGGAAGUCCAGCAUUACUUGAAGACAUAAAGGUCAGUCAAUCCGGAAAAUGACAAGAAAGUUGUACAGUCACAAAAACCCUCAAGUGCUAUGAUGAAACUGGCUCUCAUGAGGACCGCCAUAGGAAAGGAAGACCCAGUUACCUCUGCUGCAGAGGAUAAGUUCAUUAGUUACCAGCCUCAGAAAUUGCAGUCCAAAUAAGUAAAAGACAAAUCUCAAAAUCAACUGUUCAGAGGAGACUGCAUGAAUUAGGCCUUCAUGAUCAAAUUGCUGCAAAGAAACCACUACUAUAGGACACCAAUAAUAAGAAGAGACUUGCUUGGGGCUAGAAACACGAGCAAUGGACAAUAGACCGGUGGAAAUCUGUCCUUUGGUCUGAUGAGUCCAAAUGUGAGAUUUUUUGUUCCAACCGCCAUGUCUUUUUGCGAUGCAGAGUACGGAUGAUCUCUCUAUGUGUGGUUCCAACUGUGAAGCAUGGAGGAGGAGGUAUGAUGGUGUGGGAGUGCUUUGCUGGUGACACUGUCAGUAAUUUAUUUAGAAUUCAAGGCACACUUAGCCAGCAUGGCUACCACAGCAUUCUGCAGCGAUAUGCCAUCCCAUCUGGUUUGCGCUUAGUGGGUUUAUCAUUUGUUUUUAAACAGGACAAUGAUCCAACACACCUCCAGGCUGUGUAAGGGCUAUUUGACCAAGAAGGAGAGUGAUGGAGUGCUGCAUCAGAUGACCUGGCCUCCACCAUCACCCGAUCUCAACCCAAUUGAGAUGGUUUGGGAUGAGUUGGACUGCAGAGUGAAGGAAAAGCUGCCAACAAGUGCUGAGCAUAUGUGGGAACUCCUUCAAACUGUUGGAAAUGCAUUCCAGGUGAAGCUGGUUGAGAGAAUGCCAAGAGUGUGCAAAGCUGUCAUCAAGGCUACCUUGAAGAAUCUCAAAUAUAAAAUAUAUUUAGAUUUGUUUAACACUUUUUUGAUUACUACAUGAUUCCAUAUGUGUUAUUUCAUAGUUUUGAUCUCUUCACUAAUUUACAUUUACAUUUAAGUCAUUUAGCAGACGCUCUUAUCCAGAGCGAAUCUACAAUGUAAAAAAACACAAAUAAAGAAAAACCCUUGAAUGAGUAGGUGUGUCCAAACUUUUGACUGGUACUGUAUGAAUAUAUAUACAGUAUAUAUAUAUAUAA